GGCGGUUCUUGGGUGAUGCACCCCAGAAUCAGGCUCCCUCCUCUUUGGUUCUGGGUGCAUCACUCUAGAACCUCC
rfam:Myotis lucifugus cont2.28784, whole genome shotgun sequence.